AGUUUCAAGAAACUAUUACAAAAUCAUCAGAUUAAUCGCACAAUUAAAGCCGUGAGCACAUAAAAAGAUAUUUAAUCGCAUUAUCUUAUCAGCAAUUACACCAUUAUUAUUGGAAUAGUGGCGUGUAGAAUUGUCGCAAGAACAUUAUCCAUUUAUUACCGCUGAUAAAUCGCUUUAAUAAAAGUUUCAUUUAAACACAUUCUUGUCGAUUUUAUAUACUCAUCGCGAUAUUCUUUUUUGAAUUACAAAUUCCCGCGUAUAGAAGCGCGUGCUAUAUGCAGCAAUAGUAUUGCGCGCGCAGACUUUAUCUUCUAUGUCCUUGCGCAGAAUCAUUCCCGCGAUUCCCGCGUAAAGACACGUGACACCAUUCCUUGCGUUUUUCGAAGCAGUAGUUUCUAGGUUAUCGAUCUUUUCAUAGCGAACAACACAAUAGACUCACGAUUUCUAUAGAUCGUGCAAUGUUCUUAUUUGAAAUCCUGCUCCACUGUUAAAUAACUAACCUCUUAAUUGUUAGGUCCUAUGGCCAUAUAUUCGUCGGAACUGCUGUUUUUCGUGCCACGAUUCGUGAGAUCAGACAGAUGAGGAGCGAAAGAAAGAAGAAGGUCCAUAGACUGUGAAGGAAAGAUGUAACCUGUUCCAGUUUCCAGGAUCAUCCUGCACUACUACUGUAUAUUCGAGAAAUUGAAUCUGCUGAAAUGUAACACGAGAAUCAGUAUGCGAUUAUCGAAGACUGUGUCAAGUGUCUGCUGGAUCUGGAUAUUCCGACCACCAGACGUUGAUUCUUCAGAUGGUUAUCUUUCAGAAAAUCCGUGAGAAUAGAUCGUUCAAUAGCAACGUGCAAGAAAUCCUUCGACAAUUCCAUACACGAAAAACAGAAGAAAUCGUCCCCGACAAAAGAUACAGAAGCACCGAACCAUUCAGGAAGCCAGUAACCACACUCCGUCCAAUUACCACUGGAUAACUCGUUGGUAGCCCCAUCCUGAUUUAUCACCGACAUGGUUAAUCGCAUCUCGCCGUGGAGGCCCAAUUAAAACGACCAAACAAACCGAUUAAAAAAAGAAAAAAGAAAAAAAAGGGACGAAAAGGGGAAGGGGAGGGAAAAAGAAGGCAGCAAUCGAAGAAACAAACAUCCACGCGAUACAAGGUGUUGAUAUUGGAACAUCUUUGGAGAGUCGAUUAUUAAGGCAAACGCAAAAGUUUGUGGUUAAAUCAUAAGUAAUUGAAAUUUGUAUGAAAUAAAGAUAGAAUAAAAUAAAUAAAUAAAUAAUUUACUAAUA